AAUGAACGCUGGCGGCAUGCCUAACACAUGCAAGUCGAACGAAGGCUUCGGCCUUAGUGGCGCACGGGUGCGUAACACGUGGGAAUCUGCCCUUGGGUUCGGAAUAACAGUCAGAAAUGACUGCUAAUACCGGAUGAUGUCGUAAGACCAAAGAUUUAUCGCCCAAGGAUGAGCCCGCGUAGGAUUAGCUAGUUGGUGAGGUAAAAGCUCACCAAGGCGACGAUCCUUAGCUGGUCUGAGAGGAUGAUCAGCCACACUGGGACUGAGACACGGCCCAGAAUCCUACGGGAGGGAGCAGUGGGGAAUAUUGGACAAUGGGCGAAAGCCUGAUCCAGCAAUGCCGCGGGAGUGAUGAAGGCCUUAGGGUUGUAAAGCUCUUUGACACGGGAUGAGAAUGACAGUAGCCAGAGAAUAAGCUCCGGCUAGCUUCGUGCCAGCCGCCGCGGUAA
rnacentral:rRNA from 1 species